AGUGAACGCUGGCGGUAGGCCUAACACAUGCAAGUCGAACGGCAGCACAGUAAGAGCUUGCUCUUACGGGUGGCGAGUGGCGGACGGGUGAGGAAUACAUCGGAAUCUACUUUUUCGUGGGGGAUAACGUAGGGAAACUUACGCUAAUACCGCAUACGACCUACGGAUGAAAGCAGGGGAUCUUCGGACCUUGCGCGAUUGAAUGAGCCGAUGUCGGAUUAGCUAGUUGGCGGGGUAAAGGCCCACCAAGGCGACGAUCCGUAGCUGGUCUGAGAGGAUGAUCAGCCACACUGGAACUGAGACACGGUCCAGACUCCUACGGGAGGCAGCAGUGGGGAAUAUUGGACAGUGGGCGCAAGCCUGAUCCAGCCAUACCGCGUGGGUGAAGAAGGCCUUCGGGUUGUAAAGCCCUUUUGUUGGGAAAGAAAAGCAGCAGGUUAAUACCCCGCUGUUCUGACGGUACCCAAAGAAUAAGCACCGGCUAACUUCGUG
rnacentral:rRNA from 1 species